rfam:Myotis brandtii contig256037, whole genome shotgun sequence.
GGUAGUUCUCGGGUGAUGAACCCCGGAAUUGGGCUCCCUCCUGUCUGGUCCCGGGGUGCAUCACCCGAGAACCACC